rnacentral:lncRNA from 1 species
AGAUGAGGUAAAAAGUUCAGAAUGAUCAGAAAUAAGGUAAGCUUGUAAGACAAAAAGUCACAUUUUUAGAAAAAGUCAGUGAUGUUAUAAAAGUAAAAAUGAGGAAGUUUGACUUUGAGUUAAAGUUUAAUGUUUUUCAUUAUUUAAAUAUUUUUUAAAUCCAAUUAUUAAAACUUUCUGUUAUAAAUAUGACUUCUUAUUUUGUAUUAAACUUUUUUUUAUCCUAUGAUCAUCACUUUUUACUUCAUGUUUGACUUUAACCAUCUUACAAUUAUGACUGACUUUCUUUUUUUAGGGAUAAGUUUUUAUUACAGCCAAGUGUUCCUUCUGUUGUAAAUGAUGGACGUGUUUCUAGUCUACAGCAGUACAGUGGCUUAAAGCAGGUUUUUGUAAAACCAACCCUUCAAUCAUGUAAAACACACAAACGCUUGCAUUUAUUUGCUGAAGUUUAUUGUAAAUUAUCAGAUUUUAGGCUCGUAUGUGUAAUAAUAUCCAAUAUCAGCAUUACUCAUACUGGAGUUGAUGUGGACAUGUAGAAAACACUGAUAGCUUCAUAGUCAAUAGGUUUUAGUUUUAAAAGGUGUGUAUUGAAAUCGCCUGGUUUCAGAUCUUUUUGUCGCACAGCACUCCUUACUUUAAUAUGCUGAAUAGUUGACAUUUACUCUGCAGUAUCCUCACAGCUUUUAAUGCUUUCAAACCAAAAUAACCUGUAUUCUCUGUAUUUAUUAACUUGUGCUUUCUGUGACUUUUUUCUGCUCUCUGUUUGAUAUUCAGGCUGUUUUGUCUUCCACCUCCUUCCAUCACAUCUGAACGUUUCUUCAACUACUGCCUUCAAACUCUCUCUCUUCAUCCACGCUCCAUUUUUGACCCAGAACAUAAUAAUGCCUUUAACCACCCAGUAUGUCUCCCUUUACGAAUGAAAUAAUGGAACUUUAAGCAAUGUCACAUGUUUGUAUGAAGCCUCUUCACAUGGAAAUGUUUGAAAAAGUGGAAAUGAAAAGAAAGAUGCUCUCUUCUUCUUCUUCUCUGGUCUUGUCUUUUCUUUCUGCACCCUCUGUUUCUUUUUUUUUUUAAGUGUUUAAAUGUGAAAAUUCAAAUCAAAGAAGAUUCACAAAAACACUGACUUUAAUUUUGGUUGAAUGAGGAGAAAGCUGAGGAAACAAAGACUAAUUUGUGUCAAGUUGUUUUUGCAAAGUUCUUAAAAGUGUGUGUCGAGAAGUUGGGUGAUGAUAAACGUUUCGUCUUGUCUGAUGGCUCCAUUUAAGGCUGCUAUUUUCCCUCAUUUCAGUCUGACUAAGAGGGAUUUUGGUGACUGAAUAAGUCCUCUGAGAACCUCUUUAACCACAGAUUUGAUCCCUAAACACUGAGUAACUCUGACUGAGACUGAAUGACUCUGUGGCAGAAACAUUACAGUUCUCCUGCUGCAGUUCCUCUCCCUACCAUGCGGGGGCAUCAGGUUAUUUGUGUGGUGCCUGUAUGGUAGAUUUAACGAGCGUUUGGUGAUGAUUAAAAAGUGUUGGUGGUUUUUCUUCGGUUAACCGCCCCCUGAGUAAACCCUGACACAGCGUUUUCCAGCAGAGCUGUGACUCAGUUCUCGUUUGCUUUCCCUCAUCUGCAUCUCUUUAAAUCUAAUGAGGAUUUAAUCCUGUGUUUAACCUGGAUUAUGGUCAUUUCAUGAGUUCUAAUUUCCUCUCUGUGUCUGUGAAACCUGAAGGACACGGUGGUGUUAAAGUUUCAUGGAGGGUGAUUGUUUAUAGAGAGGAAACUGAGUCAGGUGAUGGUCUCAGUGAUGACAGUCGGGAUUAAAGAAACCUGGAGAUCUGUUGGUGGGAUAAUGAGAGUCGUAUGAGGAGCUUUCAGGCUGAAUUAAGUGGAGGAAGAGCAGGGUGAGAUUUCCCAGAAGACCUGAGUGACGAGAAACACUCACAAUCAGGAGGAAGAAAGUCCCAGCAUCGACAACAAAUCAUCUUUUUACUGUUUUAAUGCAAUUUGUCUUGAAUUAAAUACAAUACUCAGUCAUAUUGAU